UACGUAGGGUGCGAGCGUUGUCCGGAAUUAUUGGGCGUAAAGAGCUCGUAGGCGGUUUGUUGCGUCUAUCGUGAAAACCUGCAGCUUAACUGUGGGCUUGCGGUGGAUACGGGCAGACUUGAGUUCGGUAGGGGAGACGUGGAAUUCCUGGUGGUAGCGGUGAAAUGCGCAGAUAUCAGGAGGAACACCGGUGGCGAAGGCGGGUCUCUGGGCCGAUACUGACGCUGAGGAGCGAAAGCGUGGGGAGCGAACAGG
rnacentral:rRNA from 1 species